AUAGGUAUUAUUUCACUGAGGAGGAUAAUGGAAAGAGUAAGGAAGGACCACCUAAUGAAGAUGAUUGGGAAAAUGCAAGGAUCUUUGUGAAGUUUUUAAAAACGUUUUAUGAAGUCACUUUGAAAUUUAGUGGGUCUUCUUAUGUGACCUCUAACUUGUAUUUUCAAGAGAUCUGCGAAAUUCAGAAUGAGUUGAUAACUUUGUCAAAGGCAAGAGAUGGAAUGCUAUCCUCCAUGACUGCUAAUAUGAAGAGAAAAUUUGAUAAAUAUUGGGGAGAGUCAAAGGCAUCUAAUGGUGCAUUAAUCAUUGCUACUGUUCUUGAUCCUAGGUACAAGUUACAAUUUGUGGUUGACUGUUAUGAAACUUUCUAUGAUAUAUCAUUGCAGUCAAAGUUGAUUAAGAAAAUUGAAGAGAAUUUGCGCAAGCUGUUUGUUUUUACAAUGAGAUGCACUUUGGUGUGGGCCCAAGUUCAACUACAAGUUCUAAUUUAUCAGUUUCUGUUGAAGAAGAUACUACUAAACCUGGGGGACUUGUCUCCAAGUUUAUGUCUAAAAAACGACAACACGAUAAUGAAAGAAAUAGAAAUGAGAUUUACAAAUAUUUGGCUAAUGAUACUGAAGAUUUUGUUGUGGGUCAGCGUUUUGAUAUCUUGAAGUGGUGGACGGGACAAUCGAAUAGGUAUCCGGUAUUAACUUGGUUUCUCAAGAUGUUUUGGCCAUUCCUGUUACCACUGUGCCAUCAGAGUCUGCAUUUUCAAUUGGGAGGCGUAUUCUUGAUCCAUUUCGAAGCUCAUUAGUACCAAAGAUAGUGGAGGGUCUAAUAUGUUUGAAGAAUUGGUAUAGUGAAAGCAACCAACCAAUUAUUGUCAAGGAAUACAUGGAUGAAGAAGAAUUACCAAAUACUUUUGAACAACUUGAAAAUGGUAAAAUAUACUAUUUGAUCUUGAAAACUCCUUAUACAUAAAUUUUAUUAUUACUGUUACGCUAAAAAAAAUUAUCUUGUUAUGAUAUAUAUAUUUCAUUCAUUUGCAGAGAUUAUUACUACUCCUAGCGAGCAUCCUAAAUGAUAUAUAGCGUUGUUGCAAGUUUGAAAUGGUUUCAUUAGAGAUUAAGAGUUGCAUUUCAUUUGGAGCCAACUUUUAAAGUCACUUUUGUUUUAAUUAUGGAGACUUUAUGAAUUAUUAUGAACUUAGAUUGUGUUAUGGACUUAAAUUAUGGAUUUUUUUUUUGGAUUGUUAUGAACUUGUAUGGACCUUUUUAAGGACCUUUUCUAGAUUGUUAUGGAGUAGUACUAUGGACUUUAUAAGAAUUGUUACAAAAUUUUCAUAGAUUAUUAUCAUGCCUUGUUAUGGAGUUUAUAAAGAUUGUUAUGAAUUUUUUAAGGACUUUUAUGCAUUGUUAUUAACAGGUAUAAAUUUUUAGUUAAAUAUUUUUUUUCUUGUGACAAUAUACUUUGGAAGUUUUGAUUUUUAAGCAACCCAAACCGCCCAAAAAACCGCAUAAAACCGCCUCCUAAAAAUCUGCCCAACCCAAACUUUUAUUGGGUAGGUAUGGGUUGUGAUUUUAAAAAACCGCCAAACCGCCCAAAAACCGCCCAACCCAACCCAUGUGCAGUCCUAGUUGAUUUAGCAAUUUUUAGUCUUCAUCUAUCUGGUGUUUCAUCCAUUUUAGGUUCUAUCAAUUUUAUAACAACUAUCUUCAACAUGCGUGGACCUGGAAUGACUAUGCAUAGAUUACCCCUAUUUGUGUGGUCCGUUCUA